CCUUCUCUGUUUUGGAUUCAAAUUACGAAAGCUGGUCGAUUCUACAUCUCAACCGUGUUCUUGCGCCGUUUGUGUUUCGAAAUCGCAGAUCCAGGUGAAAUUCGAAAGAAUCUGAGGAACUUUGUUUGAAGCACAGUCGAAAGGGUCGGAGGAUUUACAUCUUUGUUCGCUUGAUUCAUGAACCCUAGAAGGGAGAAUCGUGGGGCUAGAAGUUCCCUCUUCGACGGAAUGAACACGAGAAUGAACGAGCCUUGGAAGGAUUCCAGGACAGAGUCAAUUUUCUGAAACGGGUAAAGCUUUAAGAAAUGCUAAACCAAAACCGGCUCGACAUACCCGAUAUAUGGACUAACAAACCCCCCAAAGAAGAUACAACAUUGGGCGUUACAGAGAAUGUAUAUGUGCGCUAAAAUACCAUCCAUUCGGUUUAUUGGUGCAUUUGUUGCAUGUAACGCAAGUUGAAAAAAACGCUGGCCUUUGCUAAGUUUGCCAAACCCCUGAAAUUAUUAACUCGUUAUGAUGUAAACAUACUCUUUCUUGGUCUUAGAUUUUCACCAUUGGGAAGGAUGAUCUUGAUAUGUUUGAUUUGUCUAUG